AGUGAACGCUGGCGGUAGGCCUAACACAUGCAAGUCGAACGGCAGCACAGAGGAGCUUGCUCCUUGGGUGGCGAGUGGCGGACGGGUGGGGAAUACAUCGGAAUCUACUCUGUCGUGGGGGAUAACGUAGGGAAACUUACGCUAAUACCGUAUACGACCUACGGGUGAAAGCAGGGGAUCUUCGGACCUUGCGCGAUUGAAUGAGCCGAUGUCGGAUUAGCUAGUUGGCGGGGUAAAGGCCCACCAAGGCGACGAUCCGUAGCUGGUCUGAGAGGAUGAGAGGCCACACUGGAACUGAGACACGGUCCAGACUCCUACGGGAGGCAGCAGUGGGGAAUAUUGGACAAUGGUCGAAAGCCUGAUCCAGCCAUACCGCGUGGGUGAAGAAGGUCUUCGGGUUGUAAAGCCCUUUUGUGGGGAAAGAAAUCCAUCUGGUUAAUACCCGGGUGGGAUGACGGUACCAAAAGGAUAAGCACCGGCUAACUUCGUGCCAGCAGCCGCCGUAA
rnacentral:rRNA from 1 species